AACGCUAGCUACAGGCUUAACACAUGCAAGUCGAGGGGCAGCAUCAUCAAAGCUUGCUUUGAUGGAUGGCGACCGGCGCACGGGUGAGUAACGCGUAUCCAACCUGCCCAUUACCACGGGAUACCCCGUCGAAAGGCGGCCUAAUACCGUAUGCAGUCGUCAGAUGACAUCAGAGGACGACGAAAGGAUUGGCGGUAAUGGAUGGGGAUGCGUCUGAUUAGGUAGUUGGAGGGGUAACGGCCCACCAAGCCAUCGAUCAGUAGGGGUUCUGAGAGGAAGGUCCCCCACAUUGGAACUGAGACACGGUCCAAACUCCUACGGGAGGCAGCAGUGAGGAAUAUUGGUCAAUGGGCGCGAGCCUGAACCAGCCAAGUAGCGUGAGGGAUGACGGCCCUAUGGGUUGUAAACCUCUUUUAUGCGGGAAUAAAAUGUUUGACGUGUCAUACAUUGUAGGUACCGCAAGAAUAAGGACCGGCUAAUUCCGUGCCAGCAGCCGCGGUAAUACGGAAGGUCCAGGCGUUAUCCGGAUUUAUUGGGUUUAAAGGGAGCGUAGGCCGCAAGUCAAGCGUGUUGUGAAAUGCAGGGGCUCAACCUCUGGAUUGCAGCGCGAACUGGCAUGCUUGAGUACGCACGAGGUAGGCGGAAUUUGUGGUGUAGCGGUGAAAUGCUUAGAUAUCACGAAGAACUCCGAUUG
rnacentral:rRNA from 1 species